AUUGAACGCUGGCGGCAGGCCUAACACAUGCAAGUCGAGCGGAUGAAGGGAGCUUGCUCCUGGAUUCAGCGGCGGACGGGUGAGUAAUGCCUAGGAAUCUGCCUGGUAGUGGGGGAUAACGUCCGGAAACGGGCGCUAAUACCGCAUACGUCCUGAGGGAGAAAGUGGGGGAUCUUCGGACCUCACGCUCUCAGAUGAGCCUAGGUCGGAUUAGCUAGUUGGUGGGGUAAAGGCCUACCAAGGCGACGAUCCGUAACUGGUCUGAGAGGAUGAUCAGUCACACUGGAACUGAGACACGGUCCAGACUCCUACGGGAGGCAGCAGUGGGGAAUAUUGGACAAUGGGCGAAAGCCUGAUCCAGCCAUGCCGCGUGUGUGAAGAAGGUCUUCGGAUUGUAAAGCACUUUAAGUUGGGAGGAAGGGCAGUAAGUUAAUACCUUGCUGUUUUGACGUUACCAACAGAAUAAGCACCGGCUAACUACGUG
rnacentral:rRNA from 1 species